rnacentral:rRNA from 1 species
CGACCGGCGCACGGGUGAGUAACACGUAUCCGACCUGCCGUCUACUCUUGGACAGCCUUCUGAAAGGAAGAUUAAUACAAGAUGGCAUCAUGAGUCCGCAUGUUCACAUGAUUAAAGGUAUUCCGGUAGACGAUGGGGAUGCGUUCCAUUAGAUAGUAGGCGGGGUAACGGCCCACCUAGUCUUCGAUGGAUAGGGGUUCUGAGAGGAAGGUCCCCCACAUUGGAACUGAGACACGGUCCAAACUCCUACGGGAGGCAGCAUG